rnacentral:lncRNA from 1 species
CCCGCCUAGGCCCAGUGGGGAGAGGGGGGAGGAUCCGGCGGCCGCCCCCGGCCCCGUCGGUCCCUCCAGUCCCGGUGGGAAGGAAGGGAAGGAAGGCAGGGAGGAAAGGAGAGAGGGAGGGAGGGAGGGGACGUCGAAUGAAUCCCCGCCGCCCAGGGCCUCGCCCCACCCCGGACACCUCCGCCGGGAGGCGGGAAGGAGCCGGGCAAGUGUCCGGGACAAGUGUUCGGGACAGGUGUGCGGGGCAGGUGUCCGGGACAGGUGUCCAGCAGGGCAGGUGCCCGGGCCAGCCAGCCGCGUCCCGGCCGGCCCGUCGGGGCUGAUGGCCCCUCCGGAGCGGCGGAGCCCCGGGGCCGCAGGCUAGAGCCCCCGGGACACCCCCGGACAUCACCCCCGGACACCCAGCACCCCCGGACACCAGCACCCCCGGACAUCACCCCCGGACCAGGGCUCCCCGCCACAAGAUGCUGCCCCGCCUCCACCGCCUGCUGCAAGAGUGAGAAGUUGUUUGCAGCAGCUCCGAGCCUCCGUCACCCGACGUCGCUGCCUCCCCGGGCUUCGGCGUCACCACGGCCGCCUCCGUCCCCACUGCCCCCCGGCCCCGAACCACCGCACCCGGCACCCCGCCCGCUCCCGCUUCUGCCAGAAACUGCUCCUCCACGGCUGCACGUAGGGCUCCCGCAUUUCCCCCGGGGUUCCCGACCCUCUCCGGGAUCGGGGCCGCCGCCCGUCAUCGGCCUCUCCUCUCUAGAGCCUCUCGCCUCCCGUCUCUGUUGGGCCCCGUCGGUGGGAGGCCCUGCCUUGGGCCUCACAGAGAACUCUGUCAUGCCCCUCUGCCCGCUUGUCUCCCGCCUCUCUCAAACCACGGUCUCCCCGCUCCUGGUUUGGCCCUCUCCUUAUGCUGAUGGCUUCUGACUCCUGCAAUCGGCGCUGGGCUAGGUGGAUUCUGGAGCCUAGGACUUCCCGUUUCAGUUCCAGAGCCAAGCAGUCCCGGUCCUUCAGUGACCGGGGUCCAUCUGGAUCUGUCUCAGAGGUUCUGUUUUGGACUCCUGAAGGUCCAGCAUCCCCUCUUCUCCUGUCUCCCUUUUCACGUUUCCCCUGCUCUCCGCCGCCCUGGAUGGAAAUGGGAUUUUCUACCUUUGAAGAUCACCCUAAGAGAAUCUGCCCGUGACUCCUGACCUUCCCUCCGCAUGGGUCCACCUGCUAUUCCUGUAGCCCGUUCUGGCUUUAUUGAUGGUUCCCCCCACCCCGAGUCGCUCAGGACCGAGUGAGAGCCAGAACCGAGAACCUCCUUGGCCCUUUCCCGCUACCUAACACCGGAAACCGCCCCGGCCUAUCCGACAGCUCCAAGAUGCUGGAGCCUUCGAGCCCACCCCCGACUCUGAGCAGGAGGGAGUAAGAGUCUCCUGUAUUAGUAACCAUAGUGACAGUAUUUACUGAGUACCUAAUGUGUGUGCUGAGCCCUGUACCAGGCGCUUGAGGGGCUUAACAAAAGGAAUGGAGGAUGUCACCCCUGCCCUCUGGGAGCUUAUAAUUGAGAAACAGUAGACCUAAGUUGAUGAUGAUGAUGAUGAUAGCAAUAAUAACAAAAAUGAGAUGGGAUGAUCUGCCCAUCCUUCCUAGAGCCAGCUGAACCGGAUGGCCUGUCCAUAGGGAGGUUGAAAGACUCCCUCCCCAGUAUCUGGGGCUCAGUCUGAGGGGGAAGGAGAGGGAGGGAGGCAUUGAAGAGACCACUUCGGC